UUAGCUUGAUUAGCGGUUAGCAUGAUUAGCUGUUAGGGUUAGUGAUUAGCAUGAUUAGCGGCUCACAUGAUCAGUGAUCUUGAUUAGCGGUUAGCAUGAUUAGCUGUUAGGGUUA